rnacentral:rRNA from 1 species
UGCCAGACUCCUACGGGAGGCAGCAGUGAGGAAUAUUGGUCAAUGGGCGGGAGCCUGAACCAGCCAAGCCGCGUGAAGGAAGAAGGCGCCAAGCGUCGUAAACUUCUUUUGUCGGGGAACAAAGGGCGCCACGUGUGGCGUUGUGAGUGUACCCGAAGAAAAAGCAUCGGCUAACUCCGUGCCAGCAGCCGCGGUAAUACGGAGGAUGCGAGCGUUAUCCGGAUUUAUUGGGUUUAAAGGGUGCGUAGGCGGAAUGCCAAGUCAGGGGUAAAAUCGCGGGGCUCAACCUCGCUCCGCCGUUGAAACUGGCAGUCUCGAGUUGGAGAGAAGUAUGCGGAAUGCGCGGUGUAGCGGUGAAAUGCAUAGAUAUCGCGCAGAACUCCGAUUGCGAAGGCAGCAUGCCGGCUCCACACUGACGCUGAGGCACGAAAGCGUGGGUAUCGAACAGGAUUAGAUACCCGUGUACUC